rnacentral:rRNA from 1 species
UACAGAGGUCUCGAGCGUUAGGCGGAAUCACUGGGCUUAAAGCGUGUGUAGGUGGAUCGUUAAGUACCUUGUGAAAUCCCACGGCUUAACCGUGGAACUGCUUGGUAUACUGGCGGUCUUGAGCCAGCUAGGGGCUACCGGAACAAAUGGUGGAGCGGUGAAAUGCGUAGAUAUCACUUGGAACGCCAAAGGUGAAAACAGUCUGCUGGGGAUCUGCUGACGCUGAGACACGAAAGCCAGGGGAGCGAACGGG